CAACUUUUAGCAACGGAUCUCUUGGCUCUCGCA
rnacentral:rRNA from 1 species